rnacentral:rRNA from 1 species
UACGUAGGGUGCAAGCGUUAAUCGGAAUUACUGGGCGUAAAGCGUGCGCAGGCGGCUUUGCAAGACAGAUGUGAAAUCCCCGGGCUUAACCUGGGAACUGCAUUUGUGACUGCAUGGCUAGAGUGCGGCAGAGGGGGAUGGAAUUCCGCGUGUAGCAGUGAAAUGCGUAGAUAUGCGGAGGAACACCGAUGGCGAAGGCAAUCCCCUGGGCCUGCACUGACGCUCAUGCACGAAAGCGUGGGGAGCAACAGG